CAACGAUAAGGCGUUAAUCUUAGAACAAUUAACUAAAAAUGUCGAAAAUAAUUCUAUUAUUAUCAAUUUUCUUAUUAAUUGGGCUCUAUGCUAGCACAGUAGAAGGAUGUCAAGGACAAUGGUGUCAUCCCUAUGCGGGGUACGGGUGUUGCCCUGAUCAUAAGUGUAAUUCACACUUCUCCCAGGGUAAUUGCCAACGGAGAUUGAGUAUUGGUCGCAGAAAAUAAAAAAUCACCUUAUUUGUUUUUUUGAACAUGGGUUACAAAUGUAUCUCAAUGAAAAUGAAUGAAGAAUAAUAAUAACAAUACACUGUGA